rnacentral:rRNA from 1 species
UCUUCUUUGCUGGCGACCGGCGCACGGGUGAGUAACACGUAUCCAACCUGCCUUUACUCGGGGAUAGCCUUUCGAAAGAAAGAUUAAUACCCGAUAGCAUAAUGAUUCCGCAUGGUUUCAUUAUUAAAGGAUUCCGGUAAAGGAUGGGGAUGCGUUCCAUUAGGUUGUUGGUGAGGUAACGGCCCACCAAGCCUUCGAUGGAUAGGGGUUCUGAGAGGAAGGUCCCCCACAUUGGAACUGAGACACGGUCCAA